rnacentral:lncRNA from 1 species
CUUGUCAUUAAUUUUCCCACUUCACUGGGGCCUCGUUAAAGAUCUGAUCUGAGCAGCCCUGAUCUGUGGCCUGGCAUCGGGAGAACACUGUUUUAUGGUGUCUUCCUGCUCUAGUGUCCAGCGGGUUUAUUCUAAAUGACAAAAGUACGUGAGCAGGGAGAGGAGCAGUGAACAAUGAUACCUUCCCAGGGUCUCUUUUCUUGCUUCUCUGCUUCUUAGCCCUCACUUUCAAGGGAUAAGAAAGAGUUGGCAGGAGAGCAAAUACAACAUAAUGAUUUGGGUAUAGUAGGAAUGGAAUAGCACCUGUUCGUGGCUGAGGGCCUAGGGUAGAAAUUUCCAGAAAGCAGCUUCUGUCAGUUAAGUUAGGCACCCAUUCUGACACAGUGGUUUUUUUUUUUGGUGACUAUUUCUAUUUGUUUGUUUGUUUGUUUGUUUAUUUAUUUAUUUAUUUAUUUAUUUAUUUGAGACAGAGUCUGGCUCUGUUGCCCAAGCUGGAGUGCAGUGGUGUGAUCUUGGCUCACUGCAACCUCCGCCUCCUGGGUUCAAGUGAUUCUCCUGCCUCAGCCUCCCCAGUAGCUGGGACUACAGGUGCACGCCACCAUGCCCAUCUGAUUUUUGUACUUUUAGUAAAGAUGGGGUUUCACUGUGUUGGCCAGGCUGGUCUCAAACUCCUGACCUCAAGCGAUCCACCUGCCUUGGCCUCCCAAACUGCUGAGACUGCAGGUGUGAUCGACUGCACCCAGCCAGGUGAUUUCUAUUAAUGCAUUAAGUAACCAGGUCUUGAAGUGGUUCUAAUAACUCCCAUAAUUUCAAAGUAGUAAUAAUUAUAAACAAUAUUUUGCAAUAUUAUCUGUAUUGUGAUGUUAAAAUACUUGUGAUUAUUAUAGGUAACAAAGUCACAGGUACUGUUACCACUACUGAAGUGUGAAGCCUACAGUCAUAAUUGAAGAAAAGGCACAAUUUCAGUUAGAGGGUCUCACUCUGUCACUCAGGCUGGAGUGCAGUGGUAUGAUCACAGCUCACUGCAGCCUCGACCUCCCAGGCUCAAGCAAUCCUCCUACCUCAGCCUCCUAGGACUACAGAUGAGUAAACUGAAACACAGAGAAGCCAAGUGACUGUCUUUAUCCAGUGAAGAAGUGGUGUGCAGGAAUUCGGACCGGACAGUGUGACUCCAGGAUCUAUGCUGUUUAUCUCCAUGCCAGUCUGCCCAUUCUCCUGUGCCCUUCUCAUUUGAGAAGUUGCUGCUUGCUGCCCAGCUUACAGUUCAGGUUGCCAGGGUGGGAGCAAUAUUUUUCAUAGCACUUAGUCCAACCCUCUUGUUACAGCUGAUUGGGUGACAGGUAGAUAGAUCCCUGAUCAAUGGUAGUCUAUGGCUAUUCUGCAAUCUGUCACUCAGGUGGGCUCUCACUCUGUGGUAUUUAAAUGAAGCAACUUGGAAAUAAUUUGCUAGCUGUUAAGGAACAGGAAAAAGUGGAUGGGUGGCCUGUAGAUGAGUCAUGUUUAGAGUGACUUAUCAGUAAUAAAGGUAUUAGUGCUUCGCUACUUGAGUGUCUAGAGUACCUUCAAUUCAGAUCCACUCUCCCACUCAUUUAUCUGGGAUUCCCAAGCCUAUUAUGGCUCCAUCUUUUGAAUUUCCCUGGGAGUCCUUUUAUUGUACCACAAGAAGCCCUACAACAAUCUUGCUUUACUUGAGCUAGCUCAAGUGGGUUUCUGUUUGUUAUCCUAAAAGCCAAACUACAAGAACACACAUUCACAUAU